rnacentral:rRNA from 1 species
UGGGGAAUAUUGCACAAUGGAGGGAACUCUGAUGCAGCGACGCCGCGUGAACGAAGAAGGCUUUCGAGUCGUAAAGUUCUUUUAUAUGGGAAGAUAAUGACGGUACCAUAAGAAAAAGCCCCGGCUAACUACGUGCCAGCAGCCGCGGUAAUACGUAGGGGGCUAGCGUUGUCCGGAAUCACUGGGCGUAAAGGGUUCGCAGGCGGAAAUGCAAGUCAGGUGUAAAAGGCAGUAGCUUAACUACUGUAAGCAUUUGAAACUGCAUAUCUUGAGAAGAGUAGAGGUAAGUGGAAUUUUUAGUGUAGCGGUGAAAUGCGUUGAUAUUAAAAAGAAUACCGGUUGCGAAGGCGACUUACUGGGCUCAUUCUGACGCUGAGGAACGAAAGCGUGGGUAGCAAACAGG